rnacentral:misc_RNA from 1 species
UCCUACUUACGUAGGCAGUCUGUUGUGAGAAAUACAACACAACACGUGGGUUGCGCUCGUUACCGGACUUAACCGUACAGCUCACGCCACGAGCUGACGACAACCAUGCAGCACCUGUCUAGCACCCUCGAAGGCGGCUUCUAUCUCUAGAAGCUUGCAGCUAGAUGUCAAGACUGGGUAAGGUUCUUCGCUUACCGUCGAAUUGAACCUCAUGUUCCACCGCUUGUGCGGGUCCCCGUCAAUUCCUUUGAGUUUUAAUCUUGCGACCGUACUCCCCAGGCGGCACACUUAAUGCGUUAGCUUGUUUGAACGGCACUGAGAGGGUCGAUACUCCCAAUGCCUAGUGUGCAUCGUUUACAGCGUGGACUAC